AACGGCCGUACCAUGCUGAAUAUACCGGUUCUCGUUAGAUCACCGAGGUCAAGCAUCAUUGGGCGCGGUCAGUACUUGGGUGGGUGACCACCUGGGAACACCGCGUGCCGUU
rnacentral:rRNA from 1 species